GACGAACGCUGGCGGCGUGCCUAAUACAUGCAAGUCGAACGCAGUGGGGACGGGUGAGUAACACGUGGGUAACCUCCCCUCAGAGGGGAUAACACUUGGAAACAGGUGCUAAACCGAUACUGAUGGAUGAACCCGCGGUGCCUUAGCUAGUUGGUGAGGUAACGGGUCACCAAGGCCACGAUGCAUAGACGGCCUGAGAGGGUGAGUGGGCAAACUGGGACUGGGACAAGGCCCAGACUCCUACGGGAGGGAGCCGGAGGGGAACUUCGGCAAUGGGCGAAAGUCUGAACGAGGAACGCCGGGGGGGUGAAGAAGGUUUUCGGAACGUAAAACUAUGUUGUUAGAGAAGCGGUAACUAACCAGAAAGGGACGGCUAACUACGUGCCAGCAGCCGCGGUAAUAC
rnacentral:rRNA from 1 species